ACCCAAAGGCUCUCCCCAUGCCCUCACUUUCUCUCCCUUUCUCUCCUCUUGGGUAUUCUAUACACCCCUUUCUUAGGACACGCAUCCCAAGGAGUUUCAUGCCCAAAAAAAUUUGGCUGCCUCUUUCUUAUUGAUUUCUAACAUCUAGUAGCAGCACAUAGCAAGGAGAAACUCUAGAGAAGAGAAGAAGAAGAAGAUCAAGGAGAAA
rnacentral:lncRNA from 1 species